UUGCUUUACAUAUUUGUAUUAUAUUUUUCAGGAUCUUUUCACCUUUUGGAUUAUAUGACUUUGAAACAGCUCUGAACCCCAAGCUGGCAGUGGUAUGGAAGGAAUCCAAUAUAACAUGAUUUGUUUGGAUCAUUGCUUUAAUGCAACUACAGAGGCACAAGGUUCACAAAAUAGAUGGAGAAAGCUUAAGUCUGGGUCUCAAGACCAUAUGGACUAUAGAAGUCCUUGAAAGAACUCCUACAUGAUCCUGUAAAAGGUAUCUGCAAAGACUCAUAACUCAGUCAUGUGGGCGAGGUUCACUGAGGAUUGGGAAGCUGCAUGCCUGGCAUGGAGACGUUUUGUCACCUGUUAUCAGCAUCACCAGCACCUUGGUACACUAGAAAUCUUGAAUCCUCUUCUGCAUCACCUCACAGCUUUUGCACAAGGACUGCAAAAGGUGUCUGCUGACCGAGCCAAAAGGCUGGUGGGCUGA
rnacentral:lncRNA from 1 species